CAGCGAUCUGACACGCGUGGUUCUUCUGCAGCGGAAAUAUAAACCAAAGGACAACCAUGAAGACCUUGGCAUUGCUGACACUUCUGCUGACCAUGAAUGGUUCUGCAGUGGGACAAAUGAUGAAAUCUAAUAAGACGGGCUUUGUUGGACAGGAUGUACUUUUAUCAUGCAACUGUUCCAAUGACCCCAAAGAACUGAUAUGGCAGAAAGAUCAGAGAGUAGUGAAUGUUCAUCCGCAUGACAAAAGCAUCAUAGAUGAUUCCUACGUAGAUAGGACGCAACUCUUCCUAAACAAGGAGAAGAGAAACUGCUCCCUGCUGCUCCACAACUUCUCUUCAGAAGAUGAAGGACUGUACACCUGUCAUGCCCUAGUCAGUGUUGGUGACAACCUCUGGUCAAAGAGGUCAUCAGAAGUUAAUCUAACAAUGUCUGAAAUGAAGAACGACUCUAAAACAAAUGGCCAAACUGGAGGCAGUUCUGUCACAGCUGUGUCUGUUAGUGUUCCCAUAUUGGUAGUAGUGCUUAUACUGGCAGCUAGCCUGCUUCUAACCCUACUGAUCAGAAGACGACAUCGGACAAACACGGACACUGGUUUACUGGCUGAGAGACCUAUGCUAAGGAAUGUGUGAAGUUCUCUUGCUUGACAGUUUAAUGGACUAACUUCUGUUGUAAUGCAAGGUCCUUCACAACAACAAUGGACAAUACGAGGCCUUAGCCCUAAACAAAUGCGUUUGCAUGUGGGCAUCACAUGGUGCGUGCCGAUCCGUCUCGCUUUGGGACAGAUCAAUGUGCAGUCUUUAGUUGUAACACUGUUUGAUUACCACUGAAUUGUGAAUACACUGUGAAUAUACAUUCUGUAGGCAUUACAGUUGUGUAACUUGACAAGAUUCUCCUUGUAGGAACUGUCUUUAUUCAUUCUUUGAAGAACAUGUAAUAGUAGGGGACGUGCAGUUUAUAUUUUGCCUUUUCCUCUCUCUUUGAGACACAUUGGUGGUCUCAAUCCUAAACAGGCUUUUCAAAUCACCUUAUUUUAUUGUUCAUAUGUGUACAGCAAUCAUUUACUAACACAUCAUGUAAGCUUCUUUACAUUUACUCUUGUAUGGGUUGAUUUCCUCAGCCUGUGCUGAUUUUCAUUUAUGUGGAAGAAAUAUGUGGCACUCCCUAUGGGAUAUGUUUGCUUUUUUACUGUACUAAAUUUCAUUUACUUUUAAAUGAAUUCUGUAAAGUGCUUCAAACCUGCAGAGGCAAUAAACC
rnacentral:lncRNA from 1 species